AGUUUGAUCCUGGCUCAGAACGAACGCUGGCGGCAUGCCUAACACAUGCAAGUCGAACGAUGCUUUCGGGCAUAGUGGCGCACGGGUGCGUAACGCGUGGGAAUCUGCCCUUGGGUCUGGGAUAACAGUUGGAAACGACUGCUAAUACCGGAUGAUAUCGCGAGAUCAAAGAUUUAUCGCCCGAGGAUGAGCCCGCGUCAGAUUAGCUAGUUGGUGGGGUAAAGGCCUACCAAGGCGACGAUCUGUAGCUGGUCUGAGAGGAUGAUCAGCCACACUGGGACUGAGACACGGCCCAGACUCCUACGGGAGGCAGCAGUGGGGAAUAUUGGACAAUGGGCGAAAGCCUGAUCCAGCAAUGCCGCGUGAGUGAUGAAGGCCUUAGGGUUGUAAAGCUCUUUUACCCGGGAUGAUAAUGACAGUACCGGGAGAAUAAGCCCCGGCUAACUACGUGCCAGCAGCCGCGGUAA
rnacentral:rRNA from 1 species